AAUAGAUACCCGGGUAGUCCACGCCGUAAACGAUGAGUGCUAAGUGUUGGGGGGUUUCCGCCCCUCAGUGCUGCAGCUAACGCAUUAAGCACUCCGCCUGGGGAGUACGGUCGCAAGACUGAAACUCAAAGGAAUUGACGGGGGCCCGCACAAGCGGUGGAGCAUGUGGUUUAAUUCGAAGCAACGCGAAGAACCUUACCAGGUCUUGACAUCCCGGUGACCACUAUGGAGACAUAGUUUCCCCUUCGGGGGCAACGGUGACAGGUGGUGCAUGGUUGUCGUCAGCUCGUGUCGUGAGAUGUUGGGUUAAGUCCCGCAACGAGCGCAACCCUUAUUCUUAGUUGCCAUCAUUCAGUUGGGCACUCUAAGGAGACUGCCGGUGAUAAACCGGAGGAAGGUGGGGAUGACGUCAAAUCAUCAUGCCCCUUAUGACCUGGGCUACACACGUGCUACAAUGGACGGUACAAACGGUUGCCAACCCGCGAGGGGAGCUAAUCCGAUAAAACCGUUCUCAGUUCGGAUUGUAGGCUGCAACUCGCCUAC
rnacentral:rRNA from 1 species